CCCCACUUCUUAAAUUCUUUUUAAAAGUCGGAAACUUGUGUAAUAUCAGUCAUAGUUUGCAUUUUUACAGUUCGUUCAGUAGUAGUGAGUUGCUCGGGGUAUUAACGUGACGUUUCGGUAAAGCUCGUGGACAUUUCGUUCGCUGUUUGUGAUAAAGUAAUAGCACUAUUUAGAUGUAAUGAUAUUUAUAUCGGUCAAGAAAGCUGCAGAAGUAUGAUGAGGAUAUUGUAGAUGUGAUCAACACACUGCUGGUGCUCAUCAUAUAAAAGGGCCGAAACAAACACUGAAGGGUUGUACAUGGCUUUCUUUGGUUUCACCAAUUACUCGUCAAUGGUUCUGCAUUUAAAGAUCAUCUUCUUUAAUCUUAGUUACACUUUUUCACUAGGAAGUACUGCUGAUAGAUGUUUUAC